rnacentral:tRNA from 1 species
GCUCUGGUGGUGCAACGGUUAAGCGUUCAGCUUCUAACUAAAAGGUUGGUGGUUCAAACCCACCCAGGAGCU